GGGGGCACAAAGGCCUGUCCAUGGUGGAAGGCUAUAAUUUCUCGCUGAUUUCAGGAGUUUUAUUUAUGCGUA
rnacentral:sRNA from 1 species